rfam:Gossypium arboreum cultivar AKA8401 contig_137742_1, whole genome shotgun sequence.
GCCGAGCUUGGUAACGCUAGCUUGUAACCUGUGUGGGGGCUUUAAGGUGAUGGAACAUGGGGCUGGCUUGCAGAGUCGGAUCUUGAGUUGGUCCAAAUCUGGCUUGCCCGUUCCAAGCUAAGAGCUGAACUGAGGGGCUUGAGUGAAAACUUUGAGCCUCGUGGUUCCUAGAGUGGAGGGUACUGCGUGAGGCUGGUUUCACAGAGCAGCGAAGACCUCCCUCUCUUAGCAGUGGAAGGAUAACAGGCUUGAUCUUAGUAAUAAAUUUGGAUUUAUAAUAGGAUUAAAAAGAUAAAAUAUGUCU